rnacentral:rRNA from 1 species
AUGGCCGGCGACCUGCGCCACCGCCGCCCCGCGGGGGCUGCUGACGCCGGCGGGGAGGAGGAGGGGGACGGAGGAGCGGAGGCGGCGGCCAAGGCCAAGGCGGGCCCGCCGUCCGGCGGCGAGGGGGCGGAGGCGGCGGGGCCGGGGAGGAAGGAGGCGCUGGGGUGGCUGGAGUGGAGCCGCGGGUGGAUGGGCGUCGUGGGGGAGUUCUUCUUCCAGCGGAUCGCCGCCAGCCACCUCGCCAACCCGCUCGAGCUGCCCCCGCUCGACGGCGUCUCCAUAAUCGUCACCGGCGCCACCAGCGGCAUCGGCCUCGAGAUCGCAAGGCAACUCGCACAAGCAGGGGCCCAUCUUGUGAUGGCAGUUAGGAGACCCAAGGUGGCGCGUGAGCUGAUACAAAAAUGGCAGAAUGAACAAACAGAAGUUUCCAUGCCACUUAACAUUGAGGUAAUGGAGCUUGACCUGAUCUCCCUUGACUCGGUUGCAAGAUUUGCUGAUACUUGGAAUGCUCGCAUGGCACCCCUACACGUAUUGAUCAACAAUGCUGGCAUUUUCACCAUAGGAGAGCCUCAGCGUUUUACAAAGGAUGGAUAUGAAGAACACAUGCAAGUGAACCAUCUUGCGCCAGCUUUACUAGCAAUGUUGCUUCUACCUUCCCUUAUUAGAGGCUCUCCCAGCAGAAUUAUAAACGUCAAUUCAGUUAUGCACACAAUAGGUUUUGUAGAUGCUGAAGAUAUGAACCUUACAUCUGGAAAGCAUAAGUACAGAAGUUGGUUGGGAUACUCAAAUAGCAAGUUAGCACAGGUAAAAUUUAGCAGCAUAUUUCAUAAGAGAAUUCCGGCAGAGGCUGGUGUCCAUAUUGUUUGUUCCUCUCCUGGGAUUGUCCACACAAAUGUUGCACGGGACCUCCCUAAAAUUCUUGUAGCUGGAUAUCGUUUCAUUCCAUACUUCAUAUUUGAUCCUCAAGAAGGUUCAAGAAGUACAUUGUUUGCAGCAUCCGACCCCCAGGUUCCGGAAUACUGCGAGACGUUGAAGUCUGAAGACUGGCCUGUUUGUGCCUGCAUCAACUACGACUGUAAUCCGAUGAAUGCCUCUGAAGAAGCACACAACCUCGAAACAUCGCAGCUUGUUUGGGAGAAGACUCUCGAGAUGAUUGGCCUCCCGUCAGAUGCCCUGGAGAAGCUCAUCGAAGGGGAACCGGUUCAGUGCCGGUAUGGUCAACAGAAGGCUGAAUAG